CAGAGCUGUAGCGGACGCGGGGCUGUGACAGAUGCGGGGCUGUAAUGGACGCGGGGCUGAGAAAUUUGUGGCCCACAACAGCAGACGAUGGGGAAUAACGACAAAAGCAGAGACGACGGAGAACCCGAGGACGAUUUUGGGACAGACAACGCUGAAAGCGACGGUAAACGGGACGAAAGACGGGAGACGUUGGACUGGCGGACUCGCAGAUUCAUUGAUGGCAUCCGAGAUUACGUUAGUCGUUUCUUGAAAUCCGAUGGUAAACAACUUAUGCGGGAGCUGGUAGUUCUGUUCGACAAAUGUCAGCCGGAAAUAAGCCUGAAUAUGCACUGGUUUACCUGAUUGUGAUUGAUUUCGAAGCCACGUGCUAUGAGAACAAACAGGCUGGUACAUCUGAGCAAGAAAUUAUAGAAUUCUCAGUAUCAUCGUUGUAUAUGCAAUCGGUGUGUUGUGGAUUUGUUUGUUAUUACCGACCCGUGAAGCACCGAAUUCUAUCAGGCUUUUAUUUUGUGUUUCUUCGAUUUUCUGCACCCGAAUGAUCACGUUUGCAUUGAGCAAGCACUUCCGUUCCUUUCAUGCGAGAUAUUUUCACGUUUUCACACGCACUUCGCUCCCACCAAACGGAAAACUGAUUGAAAUACGAUGCGCUGCCAAGUGUUUUCGAAGUCAUUACGGAUUCCGCUUGCUCACAAACAAAUGCGGUACUUCACGCAGACAGCCCCGAAAUUAUACUGUCAAGUUCUGAAACGAGACCUUCUUGUCCGCUGUGGCGUUGCGGCGGAGCAGCCGGGAUCUGCUUGCACUUCUACGACAGCGCCCUUUAUGGACGCUACGGCACGAUGAUCUGCAUGUGCCGAGCGGCAGUCGUGAAUUUAAUUAUCCAUAGAUUUUUCCCGCAGCCGCUCCGGAAGGCCUGUUAGAAUGCAAUAUUUCCUGAUUUUUUCACUGUUUAUGAUGAGAAGCCGCUGUUGUGCCUUUGCAUUUAUUUAUCCUGUGUGGUGAUCUUCCUUUUGACACCCCUGUAUUGACGCUGUAGAGUUUUUACUUUCAGCGGUUUUAUGGACGUCCGCUUUUUUGAGAUCAGAUCUGGUGA